UACCAGAAAACAUUUACAAUAGGAAAAACUCGACGCGUAGAAAAAAAAAGUAAAAAGAAAGAAUAGAAUUUGAGCGAAUACGAUGAAGGAACUCGUAAGAAGAGGAAAUCUCAGAGAUGACACUCACGCAUUUAAAACGUUAAAAACGUCUCUUUCUUCGUUACUCUCUCAAACAUUUACUCCAAAACAACAGACUCAACAGACUCAACCAUAAAAAAAAAAAUAAAAAGGGGGAAAGGCGUAGAGUUUGAAUGAAUGUGAAGGACGGAUGGGAAGGAGAAGGGAGGGAUUCGUGUAAAGGGUGAUGAAAGAGGAGGAGGUAUCGAGGAUGGCACAGAGGGCAAAAGACGAGGUUACUGCGCAAGAAAGUGAGGGGCGGUGGGCGCAUGAUCCUCCUGAGCCUCGUAAGGUGAGGAGAGCAGCUAAUAAGGCGUAUCAGUUACCAAGGAGACGAGGUCUCCUUAACGGCGAAGAAGAAUGGCGGGCAAGAAGGCAAGAAGAGGAACCCCCGAGGGUUCGCAGCUUGGAAAACUCAUAAGUUUCAAUUUAGCCGGGGAUCAGCGUCCUCCGACGAGCUUUACGGGCUAAGCGCCGCGCCUUAUAUUGAUUUUCGCCCAUUUCGACCUUCUCCGACCAAACCUUUUCCACCUUUUGGAGAACGAACCGUGGAUGGAGAACAGGAGGAUCGAAGAAAGCAAUCAACGUCUGGGUCUAAAUUAGGUCUAAGAAUUAUUUGAUAAAAUGAUCUCACUUUUUUUUUUAUUUGGAAAAGAAAUAUACCAGAUAUAAAUAUCGAGAUAUAUGUUAUCUUGUUUCUAUUUGAAUGAAAAGAAUAACAUUAAUUUUAAAGUAACAUUAGUUUUACGAUUUAAUCAAAAGAUGCUAGAUCAGUAUUUAAUUUUGCACAAAAUUUUACGUAUCAAGUUCGGUUAAAAAUAGAAUUUUCAAAGAAGAGAUAUUGAAUUUUCGAUACAAUAAAAUUUACGAAUAAGUAAUAAAUAAUCCUCAAAAUGAUGUUCUUCUCCAAUUUCACGAGUCUUGGAAUCAUCAUUAUAAAAUACAAAAGGUUAAGAGAAUCAAUCAAUUUGAUUUGGAUUCGUAGUUGUUGAAUAUUUCUAAAUAUUAAUAUCUAAAUAUUAUUAAAUAUAAUUAAAUAUUAUACUAACAGCAAAUGGUUCAUAAUUUCAUUUGAAGCAAAGAUAAAUCUCGAUAAAAAAUUGUUUUCCUAUAAUUUUCAGCAUCCGAUCUGAACCUACAUUCAUUCUACAAAAAAUAGAAUACAACGUAUAGCGUACAAUUUGAUUCCACUUUGUAUCUUGCGUCAUUUGAAUAAUCCACCGAUGACUGAAAUAAUUCCGGAAAUAUCUGUAUCAUUUACCAUAACUGGAAUUGAUUCCAGGAUAGGGGCACGUGUAAAAUUAGACGCGUUGGCGGAGUAUGGUCACGAUGCACGGAUGUUUGUUAUGCCACGGUGCACGAGCGAAGAUUCCACGAUGCGAAUAUCUUCGUCAUAGGUACAAUUUUAACUAACCGUCUCAUUCAUCGUGUUUCGCAAUUCGAAUGCACCCACGCUAUAUCCUUAGAUACGAUUUUUAACUUUUAUCAUCACGCCUUGAUCUUCGACGAAGGUGAAAACUAUUAUUUUCUCCACAUCGAAUGCAAAUGGAUAUUUGUCGUUUCUGGUAUUUCUUUUCUUUCGACAAUUGCUUUUUAACUAAUCUAACUAAUCUCUCGAACAGAGAUCGACGAGUAUUUUAAUCAAAAAGAGUUCUUAUAUUGUGAAUAUUUAAUUAUUUUCUUGAUAAUCGAAUUAUUUUCUUUAAUUCCGUAGAAUUUAUAUUGUAAUUUAUUGUGAUUCUUUUAUAUUACAAAGUUGG